AUGGAAGAGCCCCCCAGCAACAAGCGCCGCAACUACGACCACUACCAUCAGGAGGAUGGCCCAACCCACUUCUGCAAGGUCAUCCUUGCACCGAAGCUUGAGUGCAUCCCCAUUCCCUUGGACUUCACCAAGCACUUCGUCGCGGUGCCGACGGAGUUCAAGCUCAGGAACAACACCGGCUGCUCUUGGAAGGUGACAGUCAAGCUGAUGAGCGACAGGGUGACCCUGGAUCAGGGUUGGGCCACCUACGCAGGCGUUCAUCAGAUCAAGAUCGGCUACAUGGUGACAUUCAAGCUCCUCACUCCCGACACGCUCAAGGUCAUCAUCUUCGACGACGAUGGCAUUGAGGUCGUCAACAAGUUCGGGAAGCAUGACGAAGCCUUCGCCGCCAAGGAGUAG
rnacentral:rRNA from 1 species